AUUUUCAGCUACUUAAGUCUAUGUUAAUGAUAUACACUCAAAAUGACUUAAAGAGUGCAGCAGUUUCCCCUUGGUCUUUCAAACUCCAAAGUUAGAAGGAAUGGGGGAAAAAAGCACCAAGAACCCAAUAAGCUUAAAAGUCAACUGACCUAAGGAAAAAAUAAACAAAACACAGAACACUCACUUCCAGGCAUAGCUGCUUUGAUAUGCACAAAUAAAAAAAUACAAAAGAUAUUAGAGGCUUGUUUUAGAAGCUAGGAAGCAUAGUACUAUAUUUUUUAUACUGGGUAAUACAAAUGUGUCUUUUCUCAUUCAGGGGCCUCAAAGAAUGAGUACUGGCUUGGUAUAGGUCUGUUUCUAUUUGUGAAAAAGUAAGCUCCUAGCUGAGAGCCAGCAAGAAAGUAGAGACCUCAGUCUUACAUCCACCAGGAUCUGGAUUCUGCCAACAUCCUGAGUGAGCCUAAAAGAGGACCCUGAACUCCAGAUGAGACUGCAGUAGUUCCUACAAGAAAAGGCAGGAAAGAUAUCAAUUCUACGAAUUCUCUGGAAGACACCUACAUAUAGAUUCUGUAGCAGAGUCUGGGAAAGUCCAGGAAGGGCUCAUCUUGAUUACAAGCCAUUCUUUUGGAUUCAGUUCAAGUGCUGAGCCAUAAGGGAAUGAAACCCACCAUACUUCAUAAUAAAAUUAAUUGUAAUAACUAAAUACUGAUUACUUAGAAUUCAUUUGUAUUAAAAUGUAAAUAUUAACAUAUUUUACUAAAUAACAAGUGACAAAUUAAAAUAUUAAAGUAAUUUUAUCA
rnacentral:lncRNA from 1 species